rnacentral:rRNA from 1 species
UACAGAGGGUGCGAGCGUUAUUCGAAAUUAUUGGGCGUAAAGCGCGAGUAGGUGGUGAGGUAAGUUCCGUGUGAAAGCCUCGGGCUCAACCCGAGAAUGGCACGGAAAACUGCCUUGCUAGAGUACAAGAGGGGAGAGCGGAAUUCCCAGUGUAGAGGUGAAAUUCGUAGAUAUUGGGAGGAACACCAGCGGCGAAAGCGGCUCUCUGGCUUGUCACUGACACUCAAUCGCGAAAGGGUGGGGAGCAAAC